AUUGAACGCUGGCGGCAGGCCUAACACAUGCAAGUCGAACGAGUGGCGGACGGGUGAGUAAUGUCUGGGAAACUGCCUGAUGGAGGGGGAUAACUACUGGAAACGGUAGCUAAUACCGCAUACCAUCAGAUGUGCCCAGAUGGGAUUAGCUAGUUGGGGGGGUAACGGCUCACCAAGGCAACGAUCCCUAGCUGGUCUGAGAGGAUGACCAGCCAAACUGGAACUGAGAAACGGACCAGACGCCGACGGGAGGAAGCAGUGGGGAGUAUUGCACAAUGGUCGCAAGCCUGAUGCAGCCAUGCCGCGUGGAUGAAGAAGGCCUUCGGGUUGUAAAGUACUUUCAGCGGGGAGGCGUUACCCGCAGAAGAAGCACCGGCUAACUCCGUGCCAGCCGCCGCGGUAAUUC
rnacentral:rRNA from 1 species